UUAAAGAAAGCGUAAUAGCUCACUGGUCGAGUCGGCCUGCGCGGAAGAUGUAACGGGGCUAAGUAGUAAACCGAAGCUGCGGCAAUGUGCUUUUGCACAUUGGGUAGGGGAGCGUUCUGUAAGCGGUUGAAGGUGUGUGGUAACGCAUGCUGGACGUAUCAGAAGUGCGAAUGCUGACAUGAGUAACGAUAAAGGGGGUGAAAAACCUCCUCGCCGGAAGACCAAGGGUUCCUGUCCAACGUUAAUCGGGGCAGGGUAAGUCGACCCCUAAGGCGAGGCCGAAAGGCGUAGUCGAUGGGAAACGGGUUAAUAUUCCCGUACUUCUUACAAUUGCGAUGGGGGGACGGAGAAGGCUAGGUGGGCCUGGCGACGGUUGUCCAGGUUCAAGUGCGUAGGCUUAAGAGUUAGGUAAAUCCGGCUCUUUCUAAGGCUGAGACACGACGUCGAGCACCUACGGGUGUGAAGUCAUUGAUGCCAUGCUUCCAGGAAAAGCCUCUAAGCUUCAGAUUGUAAGGAAUCGUACCCCAAAC
rnacentral:rRNA from 1 species